rnacentral:misc_RNA from 1 species
UACGGAGGGUGCAAGCGUUGUUCGGAAUCAUUGGGCGUAAAGCGUACGCAGGCGGUCUGGAAAGUCUGACGUGAAAUCCCGGGGCUCAACCCCGGAACUGCGUUGGAAACUAUCAGACUUGAGUAUGGGAGAGGUCCGUGGAAUUCCAGGUGUAGGGGUGAAAUCCGUAGAGAUCUGGAGGAACACCAGUGGCGAAAGCGACGGACUGGACCAAGACUGACGCUGAGGUACGAAAGCGUGGGGAGCAAACAGG